AUUUGGGCAACUUGGCAAUUGAGGGAGGGAACUUGGCGUAAAUGUGAAGCCGCAGGCUGCUCGGUAAACGCCGAUCGGGCGCUCCUCCCGCGCUACUAUCGUGCGUGGGGCACUCUUCGCGCGUGGUGACGAACCUUGGAGAUUGAUGACGACCUGCAGUCCACGACAGCAGGACCAAGGGCUCUAUGACAGGAAGGACUCUAUAGCAGGAAGCCCUCGAUGACGACCUACAGCGUUUCGGAUAUAGGUACCAGGAAACAACAGUGACUUGGAUGCUCGUGAACUGGCGGCGCGGCGACGAGAAAAUGCCGCGAAGAAGAAACACGCGCGACCAAAAGCAUGGGAACAGAUACGACGCGGAAGAAAAGUUACGGCAAAUACGCGGCGGUGUGCGGUGCCACACGAAGGAGUGCUGAGCGGGAGCGAGGCACAGCAGUGCACGGGGGCGGUCUGCAGGUCGGCAGUGGGCACGGGAUCAAUGGCGGCGAAGGCCCAAUUCCCGGCGAUCUCUCUAUCAGCCCUGACAAGUUGGCGGCCCCGACAAGUUGGCGACGAGCAUGGGGGGCACUAAAGAAACCAUAGCAAAUGAAGUUGUUCAAGCGCAACAACAUGAAGUAGUAGAUGUCGAGAAGGAGAAAGAUGCAGAUGGUCAGCAGUCCAAGGAACAGGAAGACUGAUGUUUUCUUUGCGGGCCUUUGAUGAGUGUAUAUCUGAAUAUUGGCAAGAGGAUCAAGGUGCUCAUGGAGGCUAUUUUUUGUCAGCGACGAAAGAUUUUGUUGUGCACGGAAAUCAUAUGAAUUUUGUGUUGUACAAGCCAACAUCUUAGUUUUGUAGGUAUUUGAGUGUAACUUGAUUAUUGCCUUUGUAUUUCCUUUGAAAAGUUGUACAACUACAGAUGUUGAUGGUUUCAAUGAAAGUAAUGAGCAAUG